rnacentral:rRNA from 1 species
AGUGAACGCUGGCGGUAGGCCUAACACAUGCAAGUCGAACGGCAGCACAGUAAGAGCUUGCUCUUACGGGUGGCGAGUGGCGGACGGGUGAGGAAUAUAUCGGAAUCUACUUUUUCGUGGGGGAUAACGUAGGGAAACUUACGCUAAUACCGCAUACGACCUACGGGUGAAAGCAGGGGAUCUUCGGACCUUGCGCGAUUGAAUGAGCCGAUGUCGGAUUAGCUAGUUGGCGGGGUAAAGGCCCACCAAGGCGACGAUCCGUAGCUGGUCUGAGAGGAUGAUCAGCCACACUGGAACUGAGACACGGUCCAGACUCCUACGGGAGGCAGCAGUGGGGAAUAUUGGACAAUGGGCGCAAGCCUGAUCCAGCCAUACCGCGUGGGUGAAGAAGGCCUUCGGGUUGUAAAGCCCUUUUGUUGGGAAAGAGAAGCAGCAGGUUAAUACCCCGCUGUUCUGACGGUACCCAAAGAAUAAGCACCGGCUAACUUCGUG